UGGAAGUAAAAAAACGUAACAAGGUCUCCGUUGGUGAACCAGCGGAGGGAUCAUUACAGAGUUGCAAAACUCCCUAAACCAUUGUGAACGUUACCUAUACCGUUGCUUCGGCGGGCGGCCCCGGGGUUUACCCCCCGGGCGCCCCUGGGCCCCACCGCGGGCGCCCGCCGGAGGUCACCAAACUCUUGAUAAUUUAUGGCCUCUCUGAGUCUUCUGUACUGAAUAAGUCAAAACUUUCAACAACGGAUCUCUUGGUUCUGGCAUCGAUGAAGAACGCAGCGAAAUGCGAUAAGUAAUGUGAAUUGCAGAAUUCAGUGAAUCAUCGAAUCUUUGAACGCACAUUGCGCCCGCCAGCAUUCUGGCGGGCAUGCCUGUUCGAGCGUCAUUUCAACCAUCAAGCCCCCGGGCUUGUGUUGGGGACCUGCGGCUGCCGCAGGCCCUGAAAAGCAGUGGCGGGCUCGCUGUCGCACCGAGCGUAGUAGCAUACAUCUCGCUCUGGUCGCGCCGCGGGUUCCGGCCGUUAAACCACCUUUUAACCCAAGGUUGACCUCGGAUCAGGUAGGAAGACCCGCUGAACUUAAGCAUAUCAAAAGCGGGAGGAAA
rnacentral:rRNA from 1 species